AGUCACGAGUUUGAUCCUGGCUCAGGAUGAACGCUAGCGGCAGGCCUAACACAUGCAAGUCGAGGGGUAGAGUUCUUCGGGACUUGAGACCGGCGCACGGGUGCGUAACGCGUAUGCAAUCUACCUUAUACAGGGGAAUAGCCCAGAGAAAUUUGGAUUAAUGCCCCAUAGUGUUAUCGAAUCGCAUGGUUUGAUAACUAAAGUUCCAACGGUAUAAGAUGAGCAUGCGUCCCAUUAGUUAGUUGGUAAGGUAACGGCUUACCAAGACAAUGAUGGGUAGGGGUCCUGAGAGGGAGAUCCCCCACACUGGUACUGAGACACGGACCAGACUCCUACGGGAGGCAGCAGUGAGGAAUAUUGGUCAAUGGGCGCAAGCCUGAACCAGCCAUGCCGCGUGCAGGAAGACGGUCCUAUGGAUUGUAAACUGCUUUUAUACAGGAAGAAACCCUCCCACGUGUGGGAGCUUGACGGUACUGUAGGAAUAAGGACCGGCUAACUCCGUG
rnacentral:rRNA from 1 species